rnacentral:rRNA from 1 species
GACGAACGCUGGCGGCGUGCUUAACACAUGCAAGUCGAACGGACAGGCCCUGCUUUUGUGGGGUGCUCGAGUGGCGAACGGGUGAGUAACACGUGAGUAACCUGCCCUUGACUUUGGGAUAACUUCAGGAAACUGGGGCUAAUACCGGAUAGGAGCUCCUGCUGCAUGGUGGGGGUUGGAAAGUUUCGGCGGUUGGGGAUGGACUCGCUGCUUAUCCGCUUGUUGGUGGGGUAGUGGCUUACCAAGGCUUUGACGGGUAGGCGGCCUGAGAGGGUGACCGGCCACAUUGGGACUGAGAUACGGCGCAGAAUCGUACGGGAGGCAACAGUGGGGAAUAUGACACAAUGGGCGGAAGCCUGAUGCGACAACGCCGCGUGCGGGAUGACGGCCUUCGGGGUGUAAACCGCUUUCGCCUGUGACGAAGCGUGAGUGACGGUAAUGGGUAAAGAAGCACCGGCUAACUACGUG